CCACUGAACUUGAACUGUGAGAUCUUAAUUGAAUUUCCAAAAACCCCAAUAGAUCCUACUUCUUUCUGGGUAUGUGAAGGAGCAAGAAAUUUUGUGGUGAAGGAAGAAGAAGAAGAAGAUGGGAACCCUAGGGAGAGCAAUAUACACUAUUGGAUUUUGGAUAACAGAGACUGGCCAGCCAAUUGAUCGCCUUGUGUUUAGGUGCCGGACUUUGAUGAAUGUGUUUGAUAAAGCUCAGGGGUCGAUAGAGGCAUUUGUUGCACCAAGUGCCCCAAUCAUUGGGUGGGAAGAGAGUAGUCUAUUUGGUAUAUGUGAGCUGGGUAGGUCAUAGUGUUGUCUUACACAACUGCACUAUUGAGGAUGAGGCUUAAUGGAGUUGUUGUGGAGAAGAAUGGCAUGGUCGGUUCCUCCAGAAGCUCUAGUCAGACAAAAUACAAGGAUCCCUGCAAGAGAGGUAUGGGGAGGUAAUCCAGCAAAGUUCAUUUUCCCAGUCAGCCACCAAUUAUACUAACCUUGUACAAGUCCAUGCAGCUGAGAAUGCCAAACCUUUUAAGAAGAUUGAGUUUGAGAAGGUUCUCUGCAAGAAGUUUGCUGGUCGAGUCGAGAUGAGGACCGUGAUGUGAUUCAAUUCUAGGUGAAACAUCCCUAGAAUUGGUUCUCCCAGAUAAUAUCCUACUAGAAAAAGCACCAAAAAUUUUUUAACAUGAGUUUCAUGUCUCUUUUUUAUUUGAUUUUUCUUUAGUUUAAAUUUUGACAUGAAGGGAUAUUUCAUCUCAUGUUCAAAUACAUGGAAAGGGGAUUACUUUCUUUUCCAAUAAUCCUGACAAAUUUUCAGGGAGGAUCGGAUUCUACAAUCCAACCAUAUUUUCUUACUGCUAUGUUACAAAGAAUUGGAUUGUGCCUAAAAUUUUAUUUCCAUUUUUAUGUUAAAAAUUUGAAAUAAAAUUUAAUUUUACAAAAAUCUAAUUUCAAAUUUUUUAAUCAUUUAUAAAAUUUAAAAAAAAAAUGGUUUAUAAAAUAGCUUCAUAAAUUAUAUUAAUGUUAAGGUAUCUUAUGUUGUAGUAAAACUUUUCCUUUCUUUUUUCAGGGUUUCAUCCCUAUCUCUACCCGUGAGUUCUUUCUUUGACUUUCUAACCAGAGCUCCGUCAGCCUUCCUUGGGCUUUGGUGUGGCUCUAGUCGGGUGUGGGUGUUUGUAUUUGUGUUUGUACGCACAAGGACCUCUUGGUCCUUUCUUGGGAUUCCAUGGCCUUUUUUUUUUCUUUUCAACCGUUUGUUGCCUUUCUUUGACAGGUUGUGUGACUAUCAAAGAUUCGAUGACCUUUCAGAAGUUUUGUAUUUCCAAUUGAGGGUGGCGUUGUCAGAAUUGCAGUGGUGUUGUAAAGAUCGCUUAAUUUUGUUAUGGAAAUUAGCAGAUAAUUAGGGCUUAAUUAUGAAACUAGAAUAUUAAUUUUGAUUUAUUAUUUUAUGGAGAUUUAUUUGAAUUCAGGGUGUAUUAUUCAUGGCAUAUAUGGAAUUUUAUAUUUUUACAU